CAACCCUCGAGCCCGACUCUUUUGAGGACGGCUCGGCGUUGGGGGACGGCAGACUCCCCCCGGCAUCUCGCCGGGGACGCCGCCCCCGAAAUCUAGUGGCGGCCCUCCGAGGCGACCUCUGCGUAGUAACUUGUUCUCGCACCGGAAAGCUCAGAGCGGCCACGCCGUAAAACCCCAACUUUUUUCA
rnacentral:misc_RNA from 1 species